rnacentral:rRNA from 1 species
GACGAACGCUGGCGGCGUGCUUAACACAUGCAAGUCGAGCGGUAAGGCCCUUUCGGAGGUACACGAGCGGCGAACGGGUGAGUAACACGUGGGUGACCUGCCCUCAGCUCUGGGAUAAGCCUGGGAAACUGGGUCUAAUACCGGAUAUGACUCCAUGACGCAUGUUGUGGGGUGGAAAGCCUUGUGCGGCUGGAGAUGGGCCCGCGGCCUAUCAGCUUGUUGGUGGGGUGAUGGCCUACCAAGGCGACGACGGGUAGCCGGCCUGAGAGGGCGACCGGCCACACUGGGACUGAGACACGGCCCAGACUCCUACGGGAGGCAGCAGUGGGGAAUCUUGCGCAAUGGGCGAAAGUCUGACGCAGCGACGCCGCGUGAGGGAUGACGGCCUGG